UACGUAGGAGGCGAGCGUUGUCCGGAAUUACUGGGCGUAAAGAGCGCGUAGGCGGCGCGGUACGACCGCUGUGAAAGCCCCCAGCUCAACUGGGGAGGGUCAGCGGUAACGGCCGUGCUAUGAGUGCAGGAGAGGGAAGUGGAACUCCGGGAGUAGCGGUGAAAUGCGUAGAGACCCGGAGGAACACCAGUGGCGAAGGCGGCUUCCUGGUCUGCGACUGACGCUGUGGCGCGAAAGCUAGGGAGCAAACGGG
rnacentral:rRNA from 1 species